rnacentral:rRNA from 1 species
AUUGAACGCUGGCGGCAUGCCUUACACAUGCAAGUCGAACGGCAGCACGGGAGCUUGCUCCUGGUGGCGAGUGGCGAACGGGUGAGUAAUGCAUCGGAACGUGCCCUGAAGUGGGGGAUAACGUAGCGAAAGUUACGCUAAUACCGCAUAUUCUGUGAGCAGGAAAGCAGGGGGAUCUUCGGACCUUGCGCUUUUGGAGCGGCCGAUGUCGGAUUAGCUAGUUGGUGGGGUAAAGGCCCACCAAGGCGACGAUCCGUAGCGGGUCUGAGAGGAUGAUCCGCCACACUGGAACUGAGACACGGUUCAGACUCCUACGGGAGGCAGCAGUGGGGAAUUUUGGACAAUGGGCGCAAGCUUGAUCCAGCCAUGCCGCGUGAGUGAAGAAGGCCUU